UUGCCUGUAAUCUGUGGAACCACAGAGGGCGUCCUCGACUGUGAGAAGCUGGAACAAAGUAAGGCGUGUAUUAAGUAUGAAGGCAAAUGGUAUGAUCCACCUAACUUUGAGAUACAUGCAGGGAAAGGAUUGUGUAAAAAAUGGAAAUCAACAAUUCUCUACGAGAAUCAGCCUCUGGAGUAUUGGAUUAAGAAAGGUUACCUAAAAACCGAGGGAUACAGAAAAGGAAGAUCCAAGACUAGAAAGGAAAUACAAUCAUCCAGCUCUGAAGAAACUGAAGAUGAUAAUGCUGAA